AUCCUAUCUCUAUCUCUAUCUCUAUCUCCAUCUCCAUCACAAGUACAACCUCCCCAGGAUGUAUAUGGUUUUCCGUGUCUUCACAAAAGGUGAGGGAGCGCCUUCUUUGAACUGGAACAAUAACCAAAAUACCAGUUGAAAAAAGGCCUGGAAUAAACUAUGAGGGCAAAACAAACAAGGAAUAGUUUCAUCGACAAAAAAGCAAACAUCUUCAUCUUUGUGGAAAUACAUUACUUGUGCUAUGUCCUCUGGUGCUGUAAACUAUGUUUUACAACUCCACAAUUUGCUAUAUACAAGUGUAUUGGGACCAUACCGUCAGCAUACAUGAGGGAAGCAUAAGGAAAAGGGGGGCAUGAAAAAUAAUCAAUAAUUGGGCACAAAUAAAAUGAAUGACAAAACAAAAAGCAUUAGCAUGUUCCAGACGAGCGUAUCAAUAUGGCAGACUACAAAUGCAAAACGUAUAUAUUCUCAAAUACCUCAAGCGCACACAUAAUUGUUGAAAGUAUAUGAACAUAACGGCAAAUAGUCCCAACCUCCAUCGUUCUCAAAAGUCUGUUUGCGUGUAUUUUCAAACUGACCAAACAUCAAAUUCUUUGAAAAGGAAAAAAUAAGAGAAAAUAAUUAGAUUGUUAAAUUGCACAUGGAGAUAAAACUUGUCCAAUUAUAAAAAAUAGUGUUCAGUAGAAAUCCAUGUCGAGCAAUUUGACUUUCUGCCUUUCUUAUUUUCUCUGUAAAAGAUCUAUGAAGAAUAUUCAUUAAACCUAACACAAGUCCAAAUACACAACAUUCUAUAUCAACAUGUUUUACUAAGUAGAACUGUUAUUCUUU
rnacentral:lncRNA from 1 species